GGCGCGGUACCCAAGGGGUAAGGGAUGGGCUUACUCGGCCUUGAUGCGCCGGUUCGAGUCCGGUCCGCGCCGCCA
rnacentral:tRNA from 1 species